AGCGUAAUAGCUCACUGGUCGAGUCGGCCUGCGCGGAAGAUUUAACGGGGCUAAGUCACGUGCCGAAGCUUGGGGUGUGCACGUAUGUGUACGCGGUAGAGGAGCGUUCCGUACGCCUGCGAAGGUGGAUCGAGAGGUCUGCUGGAGGUAUCGGAAGUGCGAAUGCUGACAUGAGUAACGAUAAGGGGGGUGAAAAGCCUCCCCGCCGAAAGCCCAAGGUUUCCUAGCGCAACGUUAAUCGGCGCAGGGUGAGUCGGCCCCUAAGGCGAGGCAGAAAUGCGUAGUCGAUGGGAAACAGGUCAAUAUUCCUGUACCGCUCUUAGAUGCGAUGGGGGGACGGAGAAGGUUAGCUCGGCCAUCUGUUGGAAUAGGUGGUUUAAGCGUGUAGUCGUGCCGCGUAGGCAAAUCCGCGUGGCUUAGAUGAGGCGUGAUGACGAGGAUCCUCGGAUCCGAAGUGAGUGAUACCCAGCUUCCAGGAAAAGCCUCUAAGCUUCAGUCUAAGAGUGACCGUACCGCAAACCGACACAGGUGGGCUGGUAGAGAAUACCAAGGCGCUUGAGAGAACUCAGGAGAAGGAACUCGGCAAAUUGAUACCGUAACUUCGGGAGAAGGUAUGCCUCAUUAGCUUGUAGGAGCACAUCCGAAGGGCGAAGAGGCCGCAGAGAAUCGGUGGCUGCGACUGUUUAUUAAAAACACAGCACUCUGCAAACACGAAAGUGGACGUAUAGGGUGUGACGCCUGCCCGGUGCCGGAAGGUUAAUUGAUGGGGUGCAAGCUCUUGAUCGAAGCCCCGGUAAACGGCGGCCGUAACUAUAACGGUCCUAAGGUAGCGAAAUUCCUUGUCGGGUAAGUUCCGACCUGCACGAAUGGCGUAACGAUGGCGGCACUGUCUCCACCCGAGACUCAGUGAAAUUGAAAUCGCUGUGAAGAUGCAGCGUUCCCGCGGCAAGACGGAAAGACCCCGUGAACCUUUACUAUAGCUUCACACUGAACGUUGAGUUCGUCUGUGUAGGAUAGGUGGGAGGCUUUGAAGCAGCCACGCCAGUGGUUGUGGAGCCAACCUUGAAAUACCACCCUGAUGUGCUUGACGUUCUAACCUGGGCCCGUUAUCCGGGUCAGGGACCGUGUGUGGUGGGUAGUUUGACUGGGGCGGUCUCCUCCCAAAGAGUAACGGAGGAGCACGAAGGUGCGCUCAGCACGGUCGGACAUCGUGCAGUGUGUGUAAAGGCAUAAGCGCGCUUGACUGCGAGAUCGACGGAUCAAGCAGGUACGAAAGUAGGUCUUAGUGAUCCGGUGGUUCUGUAUGGAAGGGCCAUCGCUCAACGGAUAAAAGGUACUCUGGGGAUAACAGGCUGAUACCGCCCAAGAGUUCAUAUCGACGGCGGUGUUUGGCACCUCGAUGUCGGCUCAUCACAUCCUGGGGCUGUAGUCGGUCCCAAGGGUAUGGCUGUUCGCCAUUUAAAGUGGUACGCGAGCUGGGUUCAGAACGUCGUGAGACAGUUCGGUCCCUAUCUGUCGUGGGCGUUGGAGAUUUGAGGGGGGCUGCUCCUAGUACGAGAGGACCGGAGUGGACGUGCCUCUGGUGUUCCGGUUGUCAUGCCAAUGGCAUUGCCGGGUAGCUAUGCACGGAAGAGAUAACCGCUGAAAGCAUCUAAGCGGGAAACUCGCCCCAAGAUGAGAUCUCCCGGGACACAAGUCCCCUGAAGGCACCAGGAAGACCACCUGGUUGAUAGGCGCGAUGUGGAAGGGUGGCAACACCUUGAGCUAACGCGUACUAAUGCGCCGUGCGGCUUGAUCCU
rnacentral:rRNA from 1 species